CGACGCCGCGUGAGGGAAGAAGGCCUUCGGGUUGUAAACCUCUUUCAGCAGGGACGAAGCUACUCGGGUGAACAGCCCAGAGGGUGACGGUACCUCCAGAAGAAGCCCCGGCUAACUACGUGCCAGCAGCCGCGGUAAUACGUAGGGGGCAAGCGUUGUCCGGAUUUAUUGGGCGUAAAGAGCGUGUAGGCGGCUAGGUAGGUCCGUUGUGAAAACUCGAGGCUCAACCUCGAGCUGUCGAUGGAAACCAUCUGGCUAGAGCCCGGAAGAGGAGAGUGGAAUUCCUGGUGUAGCGGUGAAAUGCGCAGAUAUCAGGAAGAACACCCGUGGCGAAGGCGGCUCUCUGGUACGUGACCGACGCUGAGACGCGAAAGCGUGGGGAGCGAACAGGAUUAGAUACCCUGGUAGUCCACGCCGUAAACGAUGGGUGCUAGGUGUGGGCGGUGUCGACUCCGUCCGUGCCGAAGCUAACGCAUUAAGCACCCCGCCUGGGGAGUACGGCCGCAAGGCUA
rnacentral:rRNA from 1 species